CGUAGGGUGCAAGCGUUAAUCGGAAUUACUGGGCGUAAAGCGUGCGCAGGCGGUUUUAUAAGUCUGAUGUGAAAUCCCCGGGCUCAACCUGGGAACUGCAUUGGAGACUGUAAGGCUAGAGUGUGUCAGAGGGGGGUAGAAUUCCACGUGUAGCAGUGAAAUGCGUAGAUAUGUGGAGGAAUACCGAUGGCGAAGGCAGCCCCCUGGGAUAGCACUGACGCUCAUGCACGAAAGCGUGGGGAGCAAACAGGAUUAGAUACCCUGGUAGUCCACGCCCUAAACGAUGUCUACUAGUUGUCGGGUCUUAAUUGACUUGGUAACGCAGCUAACGCGUGAAGCAGACCGCCUGGGGAGUACGGUCGCAAGAUUAA
rnacentral:rRNA from 1 species